rnacentral:rRNA from 1 species
UUCCCCCAGUAACUGCGAGUGAAGAGGGAAGAGCUCAUCAUUGGAAUCUGGCAGUGUUGCACUGUCCGAGUUGUAGAUGAGGAGUAGUCCGUCUGGACUGCAUGGCGUCCAAGUACAAUAGGCCGUCAGUGGGACAUCAUAGAGGGUGACAAUCCCGUCCUUGACGCUAAUGUGCAAGUCUAUUACGAUGGCUAUCUCAGAGAGUCGAGCAGUUUGGGAUUUGCUGCUUAAACAUGGGAGGUAGAUUCCUUCUAAAGCUAAAUACAGGCGAGAGACCGAUAGAGAACAAGUACCGCAAGGGAAAGAUGAAAUAGCACUCUGUGAAGGGAGUCAAAAGGCGUGAAAUUGUUGCGAGAGAAGCGAUUCAAGUCAGCGUAGCUAGGCCCAUCAAGCGCUUCGCUUUGGACUAGCUUUGCCAGCGGUCUUGUCCCUUAAAGAGACUUGACUUGUAAUAUGUCCAGCCUGGCGUGCACAGGCAGCCCCUUCUGGGGGCCAGUGGCAUGGCUGGUGGAAUGGCUUGCAAUCGACCCGUCUUGAAACACGGACCAAGGAGUCUAACAUGUAUGCGAGUAUAAGGGUGGCAAACCCGUAUGCGCAAUGAAAGUGAUUUUCGGUGAUUGAGAAUGGCCUGAUGACCAGACAAGCAAUACAUGUCCCUCGUACGGCCAUUGCCCAAGUUCCGUGGUAGAUCCCACGAACAUGGAGUUGGAGCAUACAUGCUAGGACCCGAAAGAUGGUGAACUAUGCCUGGACAAAGCGAAGCCAAAGGAAACUCUGGUGGAGGCUUGUAGCGAUUCUGACGUGCAAAUCGAUCGUCUGAUCUGGGUAUAGGGGCGAAAGACUAAUCGAACCAU